ACGUCCUUACCACAUUGAAAACACCAUUAUAUGUCAGAUUACCGAAGUUAAGGAACGUCGAGCCCGGUCAGUAUUUGGGAGGGUGACCACCUGUGAACACCGGGUACCGUGUAGGCA